rnacentral:rRNA from 1 species
UGGGGAAUCUUGCGCAAUGCGCGAAAGCGUGACGCAGCAAUGCCGCGUGGGGGAAGAAGGCCUUCGGGUUGUAAACCUCUUUCAGGAGGGACGAAGCUGCGGCGGCGAACAGCCGACCGCAGUGACGGUACCUCCAGAAGAAGCCCCGGCUAACUACGUGCCAGCAGCCGCGGUAAUACGUAGGGGGCAAGCGUUGUCCGGAAUCAUUGGGCGUAAAGCGCACGUGGGCGGCCCGGUAAGUCCGCUCUGAAAGUCAGAGGCUCAACCUCUGGAGGCGAGUGGAUACUGCCGGGCUGGAGUCCGGAAGAGGCGAGUGGAAUUCCUGGUGUAGCGGUGGAAUGCGCAGAUAUCAGGAGGAACACCAAUGGCGAAGGCAGCUCGCUGGGACGGUACUGACGCUGAGGUGCGAAAGCGUGGGGAGCAAACAG